GAUGAACGCUAGCUACAGGCUUAACACAUGCAAGUCGAGGGGUAACGAGAGGAAAGCUUGCUUUCCUUGUCGACGACCGGCGCACGGGUGAGUAACGCGUAUCCAACCUGCCCCCAACUAGGGAAUAACCUUGCGAAAGUAAGACUAAUACCCUAUAAUUUCCUCAGAUGUCAUCUGACGAGGAAUAAAGAUUUAUCGGUUGUGGAUGGGGAUGCGUCUGAUUAGCUUGUUGGCGGGGUAACGGCCCACCAAGGCAACGAUCAGUAGGGGUUCUGGGAGGAAGGUCCCCAACAUUGGAACUGAGACACGGUCCAAACUCCUAAGGGAGGCAGCAGUGAGGAAUAUUGGUCAAUGGGCGGAAGCCUGAACCAGCCAAGUAGCGUUCAGGAUGACGGCCCUAUGGGUUGUAAACUGCUUUUAUACAGGAAUAAAGUUAGCCACGUGUGGUUAUUUGUAGGUACUGUAUGAAUAAGGACCGGCUAAUUCCGUGCCAGCCGCCGCCGUAA
rnacentral:rRNA from 1 species